rnacentral:misc_RNA from 1 species
UACUUGCUUUAUCAUUGCAGGAAGGAUCAAGUCUAUUAGUUCAGAGAAGAUGGAGAUGAAUAAAAAAAGUUCCUAUUCAAAAGAGAAACCGACUAUGGGCCGUUCUUCAUCUUCCAGUGAAGUGAAAAAGCCUGCGGAAAAAGACUUAAGCUCCUCCACGUUUAUUAAUCAGGCUGCAAUUUGUUGGCACGAGAGUAGAAAGAAGUGGG